rnacentral:lncRNA from 1 species
GUCAUUAUCAUUUCUCAUAAACACAAAGACUGAUUAUUUGCACAACAAAAUUAAUAAAGCACUAUUGUGUAGGUACAUAAUUAAAGAGAACAGACGAGCGCCAUUGGGUUAUUUUCUGAAUGAAAGUCUGCUGAUAAAAAUAAUCAAACCCUGACCAUCCCAUGCAGAAUGAGUAAAUGAGCAAUCUCUGGUAACAUCACAAGAUUUAUUAACUUUGGCAUGAACAAACCCUUCAACACCGAGUAGCAUAUAAUCCAAUCACGAAAAAAAAGCUGAACAACCCAGAACAUGUGAUGCCUUUAUUUUGCAUGUGGACUCAUAUCAAAUAUAGCGGGUGCAGCGCAGAGCAUCUGAAGAUAUUGAACGCAUCCCGCUCACUGCGGCAUACAGAAAUUUGUUGGCAAUCGACGGCGGUCAUCUCUUGUCCGAUGGCUCAAUCCUGACCACUUCUCAUGUCGUCAAGUCAUCACAGCUUCGUAGGCACGACCAUGAGCAGAGCAUAAACAACCAUGCCAUAAAUAUCUGAUCAUCGAGAAGCACAACCUAAAACAUUGAAUGAAUAGAGCAUUACAGCCCAAGAGGUAGAAUAACACGUACAUUCACAAUGUUGUUCUAAGCAUAGUCGAAAUGCCAUGCAAACUAAGUACAACAUGUUAAACGCUCGAUAAAGAAAUCCCUAGUAAAAAGUAUAUCAUUCAAUAUAUGUACACAUGUAUAACGUUAGAGGCACUUGAUCCUUGCAAGUAGUACAUGGGAACAUCAGGAGAAGAAGGAAAAGUUGGAAAACAUGACCGGCCUGUAUUAGCAAUUCAUGUGCGCUUGUAAAUGAAUUAGUGAAUUCAAUGUGGCCCAUCCUUCCAGAUAUAGAAAAUAUAUGUUGAUAUUUUAAAUAACCAAUAAAUUUAUCUGCAUCAUGCAGCAUAAAAUUGAAGCCCAUUAAGAUUAUGAAUAACGCACAGAUGGAAAGCCUACAAUGGAUUUAACACACAAACAUCUCAAAGCUGCUACUGUCCUCCCCAGCAUAUAUUCAAUAACAGAUGUAGCAAAGGUUACCUUUGACUGCAAAAAUGUUUGCUUUUACUGGAAAUUGUUGAGUUCCUCCACCACAUAUGUACACAUGCAGCUAUCCGGAGUGAAAUUCUGUUUUCUGUAG